GAUGAACGCUGGCGGCGUGCCUAAUACAUGCAAGUCGAGCGAACGGACUAUAAGCUUGCUUCUCUGAUGUUAGCGGCUGACGUGUGAGUAACACGUGGAUAACCUACCUAUAUUACUGGGAUAACUUCGGGAAACCGGAGCUAAUACCGGAUAAUAUUUUGAACCGCAUGGUUCAAAAGUGAAAGACGGUCUUGCUGUCACUUAUAGAUGGAUCCGCGCGGCAUUAGCUAGUUGGUAAGGUAACGGCUUACCAAGGCAACGAUGCAUAGCCGACCUGAGAGGGUGAUCGGCCAAACUGGAACUGAGACACGGACCAGACUCCUACGGGAGGCAGAAGUAGGGAAUCUUACGCAAUGGGCGAAAGCCUGACGGAGCAACGCCGCGUGAGUGAUGAAGGUCUUCGGAUCGUAAAACUCUGUUAUUAGGGAAGAACAUAUGUGUAAGUAACUGUGCACAUAUUGACGGUACCUAAUCAGAAAGCCACGGCUAACUACGUG
rnacentral:rRNA from 1 species